GAUGAACGCUGGCGGCGUGCCUAAUACAUGCAAGUCGAGCGAACGGACGAGAAGCUUGCUUCUCUGAUGUUAGCGGCGGACGGGCGAGUAACACGUGGAUAACCUACCUAUAAGACUGGGAUAACUUCGGGAAACCGGAGCUAAUACCGGAUGAUAUUUUGAACCGCAUGGUUCAAAAGUGAAAGACGGUCUUGCUGUCACUUAUAGAUGGAUCCGCGCUGCAUUAGCUAGUUGGUAAGGUAACGGCUUACCAAGGCAACGAUGCAUAGCCGACCUGAGAGGGUGAUCGGCCACACUGGAACUGAGACACGGUCCAGACUCCUACGGGAGGCAGCAGUAGGGAAUCUUCCGCAAAGGGCGAAAGCCUGACGGAGCAACGCCGCGUGAGUGAUGAAGGUCUUCGGAUCGUAAAACUCUGUUAUUAGGGAAGAACAUAUGUGUAAGUAACUGUGCACAUCUUGGCGGUACCUAAUCAGAAAGCCACGGCUAACUACGUG
rnacentral:rRNA from 1 species